UAUAUAAGGCAAAACCUUUGGGUAUUCCCUUUCAUUCUUUUCGUUACGUUCUGAAAUUUCAUUCCCCUGACCUUAACCCCUCUUUCUCUUUCUUUCUUUCUCUCUCUCUCACGCGACAAUGGCGGAAGCUAAGAGUCAAAUUGAAUCCUUGAGGAAAUGGGUCGUCGAGCACAAGCUUCGAGCUGUUGGGUGUCUGUGGCUCAGCGGUAUCACGGGGUCUAUUGCGUACAAUUGGUCUCGACCCAAUAUGAAACCCAGUGUGAAGAUCAUUCACGCAAGGUUGCACGCUCAAGCACUUACACUGGGAGCAUUAGCCGGAGCUGCACUGGUAGAAUAUUAUGAUCAUAAGAAAGAAACAAAGACUUUAUAAAGAACUUGGGGAAAUAUUAACGCAACCAGAUUAACCUGAGACUCCUAGUACUGUUUUCUUUGGGAGGCGCGGCUCAGGCAUGAUCUCGCCUUUGUUGGCGACGAGGCGCAGUGAGGUGCGGCAAGGACGUUCUGUAGCGUCGGCGCCUCUGCGAGGGACUUCGGCUUCUCUGAUUGCAACGACGAGGUUGAGGCGCGAUCCGGGCAGAGUUCUUCAUCGCACAACUCCGGGAGAGUUUUUCUUCCUCUUCCGCCAUGGAACGUGCUCACAGUGCUAUGGAGAGAUUUUCUUUCCUUCCUUUUCUCUGUUCUGGUUUAUAGCGUGGUGGUCUUGCGGCGUGAAGUAGAGGAGAGUCGCAAACUGGGAAUUUUGGAAAUUUGGAGUUUGCUGAGUUAAGAAAAUUUUGGGUUGUUCCUCUGUUCUUUCUUGCAUAUCUUGGAUUUAUGUUGUUGAAUUUGGGGUUUGAAUAAAGUUUUGUUGUUUGAUUCUCAAA